rnacentral:rRNA from 1 species
CACGUAGGCACCAAGCGUUGUCCGGAUUUAUUGGGCGUAAAGAGCUCGUAGGCGGCUUGGCAAGUCGGGUGUGAAAACUUCAGGCUCAACCUGGAGAUGCCACUCGAUACUGCUAUGGCUAGAGUCCGGUAGGGGACCACGGAAUUCCUGGGUGUAAGCGGUGAAAUGCGCAGAUAUCAGGAGGAACACCGGGUGGCGAAGGCGGUUCUCUGGGAAUAUCCUGACGCUGAGGAGCGAAAGUGUGGGGAGCGAACAGG